ensembl:lncRNA
UGAAAGAUUUGAAUGAGUUGGUGCAAGUUUAACAAGGAAAAUUCAGAACAUUUUACACCUGGAAGAGGCUGUGCUCAGCACAAAAUCAGCUGGGACUCUCUCAACAAAGAAAUGACUGAACCACUGAGAAGUAAAAUUGGAUCAUUAAAGUUCCAUUAAGCAAAACUGAAACCAAAAACAGUAGUUAUUCAGUGGACAGGCUGUUCUUUGACCAAUCACUACAUUUUUACAUUUUACUUUGAUGCAGAAAAUAUUUCAACAUAUGUAACCCUUCAAAAGCAGCUAUUUUGUCAAAUUUUUACUAAGGAUAUUUGUCAAUGUAUGAAUUUUUUAUCCUGAUUCAGACAUCAGCGUAAGUUUAUGCCACAUUAUAUCAUGUUGUAUUACAUAUCUAAAACAAAAGGUUAAAAUGUUAAAAUAUAAAACAUUUGUACACAUGCAUUAUAUCCUGACCGUUUGCCAUGUUUAGCAUAAGAAAAUAAUUGUCAUUGUGGAAGGACGUGCAAUGCCUGGUAUUUAAAGAUAUGUACUAAAUCAAAGGUAAUUUUGUUUUGAACCACCAUAUGCCUCUACAUAUGAUAUACAUCAAGAAGGAAUUUAUUUUAUACUCUAAAUAUGAUGUACACUUUACCAAAGCUAUAAUGAGCAAAUCACAAUAAUGCUUUAUCAAAGAGAGGUUUAGACAGAAUUCAGUCAGAUGUAGUCAAUGACUGAAAAUAACAGAUUGUUUUAAUUUGUUUUACAAAGAACAGUCAAAAUCUUAUCAAAUUCAUGAUUUAUUUUUUGUUGCCAUAUAACAGUUACAAAUUAUUUUUUUAAUUUUCCAUUUUAAUUUAACAGAAAAUAUUUGACUAAAGUUUUGCCAUAAAAAUGUAAGCAUGCAAACUAAAGUUGGAAUUACUGGCUUUUCCCCAUGUGUGUUUUCCCCCCAGAGGAGCACUUCACAUAUAUAAAUGUUCUGCGUAAUGAUCAAUACACUUUGUAGUACUGCAUAUUAUCAUUAAACAGUUUAGCAUUUUUGUUAUUAUACAAGCUGCCUUGCCUGUUUUAAGGGCAUGUGCAUCUGGCCUGAUAAAAUAAGCCAUUGCAGUAUUGAAAUCAAAAUUUUAACUUAUUCUAAUAUAUUGCUAAGUGUUUGAAACCAUCUGUACAGACUGAUUAUACAGACUAUGCAUCUUUGAAGAAAUUGCAAUAUUAACAAUCAAUUAAAUACAAGUGUAGUAUUGUUCCUGGAUUUUGAGACAUUUAAACAUGUAUGGUUUAAUACAAUUUAUAAUUUCAGGUUUUAUUUAAAUAAAAGAAACUACCCAUUUUUGACUUAUGAUUUAUGAAAAGUUGAUGUCCAGCACACCAAUACCAUUGUUAUUUCAUUUGACGAAUGGAUGAAAGACAAAUUGAUAAAAUGCUUAUUUAUUUUCUACUUUGUGCAAUGUAGGAUAUUUUAAAGCGGCAACUCAGAAGUGUUUCUGAUGGGAAACAUUAAAUAUAGUAUUUGCAGUUUAUUAGUUUCAAAUAUAUUCACAAAUUACCUACCAAUAGAAAACAAAAUUAAAAUAAUGCAGUGGACCUUUAAAAAAAAAAAUUUAAUUCUCUCUUAGUUUAUAACAAACUCAUGAAAAUGGUUAAAUACUGGCACUGAAAUAAACUAAUAC